rnacentral:rRNA from 1 species
UUGUGGGGUGAUGGCGUGCCUUUUGAAGAAUGAGCCUGCGAGUCAGCGGCAUGUCGCGAGGUUAACCCGUGUGGGGUAGUCGUAGCGAAAGCGAAUCCUAAUGAGGGUGUUGUCAGUGGCAUGUUCUGGACCCGAAGCGGGGUGAUCUACCCAUGGCCAGUGUGAAGCAGCUGUAAGAGGUUGUGGAGGCGCGAACCCACUUAGGUUGAAAACUGAGGGGAUGAGCUGUGGGUAGGGGUGAAAGGCCAAUCAAACUCCGUGAUAGCUGGUUCUCCCCGAAAUGCAUUUAGGUGCAGCGUUGUGUGUUUCUUGCUGGAGGUAGAGCUACUGGUUGGUUGAGCGGGACUACAAUCUUAGCAAUGUCAGCCAAACUCCGAAUGCCGGUAAUGUUAAGCAUGGCAGUGAGACUGCGGGGGAUAAGCUCCGUUGGUCGAGAGGGAAACAGCCCAGAUCGCCGGUUAAGGCCCCUAAGGGUGUACUAAGUGGAAAAGGAUGUGGGAUCGCGAAGACAGCCAGGAGGUUGGCUUAGAAGCAGCCAUCCUUGAAAGAGUGCGUAAUAGCUCACUGGUCGAGUGGUUCUGCGCCGACAAUGUAGUGGGGCUCAAGUACACCGCCGAAGCCGCGGCAGUCAGCAUUUUUUGUUGGUUGGGUAGGGGAGCGUCGUGCACUGCUGUGAAGCACCUGGGUGACUUGAUGGUGUGGAGUGUGUGCGAGUGAGAAUGCAGGCAUGAGUAACGAAUGAAAAGUGGAAAACUUUUCCGCCGGAUGACUAAGGGUUCCUGGGUUAAGCUAAUCUUCCCAGGGUGAGUCGGGACCUAAGGCGAGGCCGACAGGCGUAGUCGAUGGAUAACCAGUUGAUAUUCUGGUACCCGUGUAUGUGCGCCCAGUGGUGAAUCAGUGGUACUAACCAUCCAUGGAUCUUCUGGUCAUGCUUUUUGUGUGGUUGGUGGUGAUGUGCGUGGGAUCUUCGUUGGUAGUAGCCAAGUGAUGGGGUGACGCAGUGAGGUAGCUGAGCCAUGUAGUGGAUUGUGGUGUAAGCGUGUGGCCCGUGGCAUAGGUAAAUCCGUGUCGCAUAGUGGGUGAGGCGUGAUGCGUAGACCUUUGUGGUUGAUGUUGGUGAUCCUGUACUGUCGAGAAAAGCCUCUAGCGAGUGCAUAUAUGGCCCGUACCCAUAACCGACACAGGUGGUCAGGUAGAGAAUACUAAGGCGAUCGGGUGAACUGUGGUUAAGGAACUCGGCAAAUUGCCCCCGUAACUUCGGGAGAAGGGGGACCAUUGCUGGUGACCGACGUGGUUGAGCUGGUGGUGGUCGCAGAGAAUAGAGGGAAGCGACUGUUUAUUAAAAACACAGGUCCGUGCGAAAACGUGGAAGUUGAUGUAUACGGACUGACGCCUGCCCGGUGCUGGAAGGUUAAGAGGACCUGUUAGGGCAUUGUUGUCCGAAGCGGAGAAUUUAAGCCCCAGUAAACGGCGGUGGUAACUAUAACCAUCCUAAGGUAGCGAAAUUCCUUGUCGGGUAAGUUCCGACCUGCACGAAUGGCGUAACGACUUCCCUGCUGUCUCAACCACAGGCCCGGUGAAAUUGCAGUACGAGUAAAGAUGCUCGUUACGCGCGGCAGGACGAAAAGACCCCGGGACCUUCACUAUAGCUUGGUAUUGGUGUUUGGUUCGGUUUGUGUAGGAUAGGUGGGAGACUGUGAAGUGGUCACGCUAGUGGUUGUGGAGUCGAAAGUUGAAAUACCACUCUGAUCGGAUUGAGCACCUUAACCUUGGCCCAUGAUCUGGGUUGGGGACAGUGCCUGGUGGGUAGUUUAACUGGGGCGGUUGCCUCCUAAAAUGUAACGGAGGCGCCCAAAGGUUCCCUCAGCCUGGUUGGCAAUCAGGUGGUGAGUGUAAGUGCACAAGGGAGCUUGACUGUGAGACUGACAGGUCGAGCAGGGACGAAAGUCGGGACUAGUGAUCCGGCAUCUACUUGUGGAAGUGGUGUCGCUCAACGGAUAAAAGGUACCCCGGGGAUAACAGGCUGAUCUUCCCCAAGAGUCCAUAUCGACGGGAUGGUUUGGCACCUCGAUGUCGGCUCGUCGCAUCCUGGGGCUGGAGUAGGUCCCAAGGGUUGGGCUGUUCGCCCAUUAAAGCGGCACGCGAGCUGGGUUUAGAACGUCGUGAGACAGUUCGGUCUCUAUCCGCCGCGCGCGUUGAAACUUGAAGAAGGCUGUCCCUAGUACGAGAGGACCGGGACGGACGUACCUCUAGUGUGCCAGUUGUCACGCCAGUGGCAGGGCUGGUUGGCUACGUACGGGAGGGAUAACCGCUGAAAGCAUCUAAGCGGGAAGCCUGUUUUGAGAUGAGGUUUCUUUUGAGGUUCCCUCUAGACUAGGGGGUUGAUAGGCCAGAUCUGGAAGCGUAGUAAUGCGUUAAGGUGACUGGUACUAAUAUGACCGAGUAAUAACAUUGU